UUAUUAUUUUUGCUACUUCUAGAAAAGUCUUUGGAAUAUGGUGAAAAUAUUUGAAUUACGAAUUGUGAUUUCUCCUUUUAGGAAUUUAGUAUUAAAGUUACCCAAAAAGAAAAAGUAAACAUUUAAAAUUAUUUGCUCUUAGGAUUUUUCUUAAUUUGCCAACGUAUCUUUUUUCCCCUCUAAUAGGUGAAAAACCUUUUGAAUGUCCAAAUUGUCAUGAACGAUUUGCUAGAAAUAGCACUCUCAAAUGUCACCUCACUGCAUGCCAAACUGGAGUAGGGGCAAAAAAAGGAAGGAAGAAGCUCUACGAAUGCCAGGUCUGCAACAGUGUGUUUAACAGCUGGGACCAGUUCAAAGAUCACUUGGUAAUACACACUGGAGAUAAACCCAACCAUUGUACUUUAUGUGAUUUGUGGUUUAUGCAAGGAAAUGAAUUAAGGAGGCAUCUCAGUGAUGCUCACAAUAUUUCAGAGCGUCUAGUAACAGAAGAAGUUCUUUCAGUAGAAACACGUGUGCAAACUGAACCUGUAACAUCAAU
rnacentral:sRNA from 1 species